rnacentral:rRNA from 1 species
CCUACGGGUGGCAGCAGUGAGGAAUAUUGGUCAAUGGCCGUAAGGCUGAACCAGCCAAGUCGCGUGCAGGAUGACGGCCCUAUGGUUUGUAAACUUCUUUUAUAGGGGAAUAAAGGUCUCCACGUGUGGCUCUUUGCAUGUACCCUAUGAAUAAGCAUCGGCUAACUCCGUGCCAGCAGCCGCGGUAAUACGGAGGAUGCGAGCGUUAUCCGGAUUUAUUGGGUUUAAAGGGUGCGUAGGUUGUUUUUUAAGUCGGCUGUGAAAUUUCGGGGCUCAACCCGAACAUUGCCGUUGAAACUGGCUGGCUUGAGUGCGUGGGAGGUAGGCGGAAUGCGUGGUGUAGCGGUGAAAUGCUUAGAUAUCACGCAGAACUCCGAUUGCGAAGGCAGCUUACU